rnacentral:rRNA from 1 species
AUUGAACGCUGGCGGCAGGCUUAACACAUGCAAGUCGAGCGAGUGGCGGCCGGGUGAGUAAUGCUUGGGAAUAUAGCUUAUGGAGGGGGAUAACUACGGGAAACUGUAGCUAAUACCGCGUACCAUAGGAUGAGCCCAAGUGUGAUUAGGUAGUUGGUGAGGUAAAGGCUCACCAAGCCGAAAAUCUCUAGCAGGUCUGAGAGGGUGAACAGCCACACUGGGACUGAGACACGGCCCAGACUCCGUCGGGAUGCAGCAGUGGGGAAUAUUGCGCAAUGGGGGAAACCUGACACAGCCAUGCCGCGUGAAUGAAGAGGGCCUUCGGGUUGUAAAGUUCUUUCGGUAGCGAUGCGUUAUCUACAGAAGAAGCACCGGCUAACUCCGUGCCAGCAGCCGCGGUAAUAC